rnacentral:rRNA from 1 species
AACGAACGCUGGCGGCAUGCCUAACACAUGCAAGUCGAACGAUGCCUUCGGGCAUAGUGGCGCACGGGUGCGUAACGCGUGGGAAUCUGCCUUUCGGUUCGGAAUAACUCAGGGAAACUUGAGCUAAUACCGGAUAACGUCGCAAGACCAAGAUUUAUCACCGAAAGAUGAGCCCGCGUAGGAUUAGCUAGUUGGUGAGGUAAAGGCUCACCAAGGCGACGAUCCUUAGCUGGUCUGAGAGGAUGAUCAGCCACACUGGGACUGAGACACGGCCCAGACUCCUACGGGAGGCAGCAGUGGGGAAUAUUGGACAAUGGGCGAAAGCCUGAUCCAGCAAUGCCGCGUGAGUGAUGAAGGCCUUAGGGUUGUAAAGCUCUUUUACCCGGGAAGAUAAUGACGGUACCGGGAGAAUAAGCCCCGGCUAACUCCGU